GAGAACAUGAAUUGUUGAGUAUUUCGAGCCUGAUGAACUUGCAUUACAGAAUUGGUAAUUCAGAUCUUGAAAAUUAAUAGGAUAAAAUCAAUGCAAGAAAAUUGAGUGUGUGUUCAUGGAAUAAUUAUCUCUGUCAUAUGAUCGUAGGAACUACAUAGUCAUUAACUUCAAAUAAUGAGUAUGUUUAGAGAUACAUUAACAGAUGCAAGUGAGUUGAACAUAUUU